GUUUCAGGGCGAGGUGAAAUUCCUCACCGGCGGUAUAGUCCGCGAGCAUGAAAUGCUGAUUGGGUGAAAUUCCCAAACCGACGGUAUAGUCCGGACGGGAGAAA
rnacentral:ncRNA from 1 species